UACGGAGGAUGCGAGCGUUAUCCGGAUUCAUUGGGUUUAAAGGGUGCGCAGGCGGAUUAAUAAGUCAGUGGUGAAAUCCUACGGCUCAACCGUGGCACUGCCAUUGAUACUGUUAGUCUUGAGUAUAGUUGAAGUGGGCGGAAUGUAGCAUGUAGCGGUGAAAUGCAUAGAUAUGCUACAGAACACCAAUAGCGAAGGCAGCUCACUAAGUUAUAACUGACGCUCAUGCACGAAAGCGUGGGGAUCAAACAGGAUUAGAUA
rnacentral:rRNA from 1 species